AAUAUUGGACAAUGGGGGAAACCCUGAUCCAGCCAUGCCGCGCGUGUGAAGAAGGUCUUCGGAUUGUAAUGCACUUUAUUUUGGGAGGAAGGGCGUCAAGCUAAUACCUUGAUGUUUUGAUGUUACCAACAGAAGAAGCACCGGCUAACUCUGCGCCAGCAGCCGCGGUAAUACAGAGGGUGCAAGCGUUAAUGGGAAUUGCUGGGGGUAAAGCGCGGGGAGGUGGUUCAGUAAGAUGGGUGUGAAAUACCCGAGGUUAACCUGGGAACUGCUGUCAUAACUGCUGAGCUAGAGUACGGUAGAGGGUAGUGGAAUUUCCUGUGUAGCGGUGAAAUGCGUAGAUAUAGGAAGGAACACCAGUGGCGAAGGCGACUACCUGGACUGAUACUGACACUGAGGUGCGAAAGCGUGGGGAGCAAACAG
rnacentral:rRNA from 1 species